UUAUCAGUGAAGCCACACUGUUGGAGCAGACUGGACUCCUUGGCAAAUCUCUUGCAAACGGCUUGGCAGGUUUUCCCUAAUGCAACAUCCAGAAAGAAAAAGUCCCCUGUCCUCUUCCCGGUCCCUCCUAACCUCCAGCCCCACCCACAGGGACCUUGUUUGCUCUGGCAGACAGGGAGCCCAUUCAGAGCCCGCGGGGUGGCCCAGGCAGAGUCUGGCCGGGGAGCAUGGCCCCUACGUCUGGUUAGUGGGGACUUUGUGGGGCGCGGUGCUCUAGAAGCCUCCUUUGCUUGGGGUGGGCGUGGGGCGCUGACUUUAUUCUGGUUGACGAGAGUGACUGACUUUACAGUUUUGUCUUUCUCCCUAAGUCAGAAAGCCACUUCCAGCUGGUAGCAUGAGGUGGUAGUAUGAGGUCUGGCGGGCGGGAGUCUGGUGCCAUCCUGCCACCGGAGGGUCGCCGGCCGGGCGGGACCGUGGUCUCUCCCAGCCACAGGGAAGGCGAGUCUACGGCCACCAGCAGCCCAGAGUGGGUGCCAGGCUGUGCACGUAGGGAGAAUCUUUGCUGUUCCUGCUCCGGGUUUUGGACACCCACAGCUUCCUUGCUUAGCAUUUUAAUGACGCUGCCAUCAGAGGGCUUUCUUUUACACAAGAAAGGGCGCCCCGACCUCUUCAUUUUUCCAAGGUGGGAAGGCCACCUGACCUUAGGCUCAAACCACCUCUGACUAUGAAGGGCUGUGAACGAAUCCCACAGCCAGCUGCGUCCCAAACUGCCCUGGGAGGUCAGACAGGGCCUCACUCCCAGCGCCCUGCACGGGCAGCCCAGCCCUGAGAGGAGGAAGCUCGCUGCCCAGGGGCGGCCCGGGGGAGAGCAGGCCCACCCACGGCAAGCUCGGGCUGCUCCGCCUCGGGCCUCCUGCGAGCCGUCACAGCGGCUCCCGCGCAGCCGAGGGCUCCUCUGCAGAAGUCCUGAAGGAUGCGGAGCUACACCGCGGGCUUGUCUACUCCUGCCGACGGAGACGGCGCCCCCCCAGAGCCCCUUCCCCCUCUGCUGUGGUUUGGAAGAGGGAGGCUCCAGUCCGUCUGUAGAGGACGAGGCCGUGGGUUCGAGAAAUCCUCGUAGUGCUUCCUAGAGUGAACGCGGGUCCAGAAGCAUUACCAGUUCCAAGAUAUUUUGCAAAUAUUCUGGAACACAUUAGCAGAGGAAGGAGUAACUUUUGGGAGUGUUAUAAACAGGUGUGGCAGAGACCGCAGCGCUCACAAUAUUUGACACCUGUGCUCCUCUCGUCCUCCUGGGCAACUACUGGACCACACCCCCAGCCUCCCUACAGUCAGAUGGAGCCACUGACUGGGUUCCGGCCAAAGAAAUGGGAGCAGACAUAAUAUGUGCCACGUCCAGACCUGGCCCACAAAAACCUCCCACACAACACAAAAAUUAACUCAAAAUGGAUCACGGACCUAAAAGUAAAACAUAAAACUUUUAAGAAAAAACUGAAGAAAAUCUUUGGGAUCCAGGGCUAGUCAAACAGUUCUUAGGCUCGAUAGAAAAUCACAACCCAUAAAAGGAAAUAAAUGGAGAGAUUAGCUUUCAUGCAAAUUAAAAACCUUUGUUCUUAGAAAGGUCCUGUUAAGAAGACAAGUUACAGACUGGGAGAAAACAUGUUCACCCCGUAUUUCCAGAUAUCUAGAAUACAUAAAGAACUCUCAAAACUCAGUAAGCAAAAAGCAAACAAUCCAAUCAGAAAAUGGGCAAAAGACAUGAAGAGAGAGUCUACCAGAGGAAACAGAGAACAAAAUGAGCCCAUGAAAAGGUGUGCAAUGUUACUAACCAGCAGGGAAACACAAAUUAAAAUGACAGCAUCACACACCUAUGGGAUUAGCUCAAAUGAAAAACAGUGGCAACACUAAUGCUGGUGGGGUGUGCAGAAACGGCCUCCCUCACACAUUGCUGGUGGGCGUGUCCAAUGGUAGGCCAUACUGGGAAACAGUUUGGCAGUUAAAACGACAAAACAUGCAACUCUCUUCCACCCCAGCGGUUACGCUCCUGAGCACUUAUCUUAGAGAAAUGAAGACUUGUGUUCACACAAAGACCUCUAUAAAAAUGUUUACAGCAGCUUUAUUCAUAGUAGCCCAAAACUGGAAACAACCCAGGUCUCCUUCAGUGGGUGAAUGGCUAAACAACCGUGGUCCAGCCACACCACAGCAUACUAUUCAGGAACAAAAAAGAACAAACUAUUGCUACAUGUAACGACCUGGAAGAACCUCCAGAAAAUUAUGCUGAGUGAAAAUAAUCUCAAAAAGUUAUAUGAUGUAUGAUUACACAUAUAUAUAAUAUUAUUGAAAUGACUAUAGAAAUGGAGAACAGAUUAGUGGUUGCCGGGGCUUAAGAAGGAAGCAAGUGUGGCUAUAAAGGGGCAACCUGAGGGAUCCUUGUGGUGAUGGCCCUGUUCUCUCUCCUGACUAUAUCUGUGUCAGCAUUGGCUGUGAUAUCGUAGUAAAACUUUGCAAGAUGUUACCAUUGGGGGAAACUGAGUGAAGGGUCCACAGGAUCUUUCUGUAUUAUUUCUUACAACUUCAUAUAAAUCUACAAUUGUCUCAAAAUAAAAAGUUUAAUUACUGCUCCCCCUACAAAUACCCCUCCUCCACAUGAUCUUUGCCCUUUCCCCCUCCACUGGACAGAUGGAGACACUCCAAGAACUUUGAGGAGGGCAAGGCACAAGAAGAAAGGGGUCUGGGUCCCUGAAUGGCUGUGUGGAGGAGAGUCAUCCCCUCGCUGCCCCAUACUGAGCUGAGAUGUAAUCAAGAAAAAGCUGUUUUUGUGUUAAACCACUGACAGCUGGGGACUGUUUGUUACUGCAGUCACUCCUUACCCUGCUAAUGUCACAUUGGAGGAUCUGGGAUUUUAACCCAAAUUCAGGCUUCACAGGGAUCCGACAAGUAUGCUGAUUUUUCCAUGAAACAAACUAUUCUGGUUUCUGGUACAAAGAAAUUACCCUAUCUUCCAUCUGUGUGAAAACCGGGGAUCAUCUCCUGCCUUCAGCACUUUCUGGCUUUUCAAGUUUGAGUCCAUCACUGGACUUCCCAAAGCCUCACUCUCCCGGCUGCAAGACUAGGGAAUUGGGAAGGUGGGUGCAUGUCUGUGGAAUGACGGAGCGCUCUGUGCAUGCAGAGAUCUGGGGGUGUGUCCAGCAGCCUCCUCUUUGUUCUCCAACAAAGUUCAUCCAACUCCUCUGGCCUCCAGGUUCUUCUGUCUUAGCCCCAGAGAGACCUUCUUUAAAAAUGAACCUGAUCAGUUGCUUUAGUUGACAAAUAACCACAACAACAAUGACAGAAAGAAAGUAAUGCUAUUAUUAAUAGUGACAGCAUCAUUUAUCAACCACCUACUGUGUUCCUAGUGAUACUUGCAGGCAACCUGUCUACCCUCGGGCUCGUGCUGGCGUUUCCCCGACCCUCCAGGUGGGUGCUGCUCCACCAGCCUGCUCCCCUUCACCUGGGCCCGCCGAGGCUGCUUCCUGCCCUUCUGGCAAGGUCUGUUGUGGUUCAGGAAGUGCAGCAGGGGCGCGAUAACGUUAGAUGGGUGAGUGGAUCCCUUCAUCUACCUUCUCGCCUUCUUACAUCUUGGUCUUGAUACGCUGGUGACAAAGGGACAUGGGCCUGCGUGGGCUUUGGAAAACAUAAGGAAUGCAGGACAGGUGGGUCCAUGCUGCAAAGGGUUUCUCGGUGUGCCAUGCAGGGAGGAUGCCUCGAUGGAGGACCAGACACAGUGCUACUUCCUCCUGCCCUGUGGUCUUCACUUCUCUCUGGGGCCUUGGUAGGACCCCUCAGUCAUAGCCUUAGACAGAGAACUGAGGUUGCAUCCUGGCAGCCUGCGGGCAUCCCCUCGCCCCCAGACACAGCGCUGUUUCCUUCGGCCGACACAGGGCAGGGGUGUGUGUGUGUAUGUAUUUAAAUUGACUUAGUUGCCAAUAGCUUAAACGUGGGAGACCUGUCAACUGCGGGCAGCCCCUUUGUGGCCAUGACUGGGGAAAGCUGCCACCUCUAGACUUGCAGGUGCCCUUCAAUUCAUCUGUCCCUACCUGCCUCUGCUAUGGAUGUCAUCUGUCUGGCCCUCAGAUGUUUGAGGCUGUGACCUCAGAAAGAGGGUGUAGAUGGGGCCUGGGUGUUACCAGCUCCUGAAUGGCUUUACGUGACAGGCACUGGGUGGAGUGCCUUGUAUACAUCAUCUUAGUCACAUAAAAUGUCCUUCUGCAGAAUGGGAAAUUCUGACGGGCUCUUCUUAGGAUGAGUUCCGAAAGCUGGGGGCCCAGACCUCAGUAAGGUCAGGAUGAAGUUUCCCUGGUUGUACCAGUUCUAUUGCCACGGUAACAAAUUACCACAAACUUAGUGGCUAGAAACAACACAAGUGUAUUAUCUUGCAGUUCUGUAGGUCCGAAGUCUUCCUGGGCUAAGGUGAGGUGUUGGCGGGGCUGUGCUCCUUUCUGGAGGCUCUGUGGAGAGUCCACUCCCUUUCCCAGCUUCUAGGGGCUGCCCUCUUUCUCCCUCUGUCUUCACAGCUGCAACAGUGGUGGAGUGCUGCUCACAUCACGCCACCCCAACGUCCUCUCCUGCCUCCUCCUUCCACUGAUGAUCACGCUGGACUCGUGAUUCCACUGGGCCCAUCUGCAUGACCGACGAUAAUCUCCCCAUCUGACAGUCUGCUCGUGAGCAGCCUUAAUUCCACCGGCUGCCUCAGCUCCCUUUUGCCACGUCAGGGAGCAUACUCACAGGUUCCGGGGAGUAGGAAGUGGCCCUCAUACCUACCACACUGGUCCACGGCAGAAUGACAAAAAUGACAGUGUGCCGCUUUUCCCAUGAAGACAGUUUUUAAAAUUAUAAUUUUAAAAUGAUAUGCCUCUGAAUGUAUGCCUUCUCACUUUGGGGGGAUGGGCUGUUAAAUAUGAAAUGUAUCAAGUAUGAAAUGUCCUUUUGAGAAAAAAAGGAAAAGUUGGAAAACUGCAGUUUUCCUGGUCCAUGAAGUUCCAACUUGUGGGAAACGAUACUUUGGGCUAAGUAGUCCCACAGAUGCACUCCCCAGAGCAUCACAGGCACGUGCCAGAGGCUGGCAGCUCGGGGUGCUGCUGCAGGACUGGGGUCCUCCACGUUGUGGAAAUAUGAGGGUGCCAAUGACAGGUGCUUCUGAUUCCGUUCAGAUCGGCUCCCUGAUCAGGACACAUGUUGGGCUGAGGUGUGGGGCCCAGGCUGUCAGCAACCACAAGGUAGCCACAAGAGAGAAACAAGUUAAACCAGAAGCAACUUUAAAAAAUCUUCUAAGUCUGGUGGGCGUGUCCAAUGGUUUUGAUGUCAAGAUGAUGACAAAUUCUCUCCAGAGAUGGUGUAAAAUCCAACCAUUGACAAGCAGGUGAAUUUAGUUCAAAAGUUGUGUCUUUUCAUACUUUGAGAAUAUCUAAUGUUCUACUAGUUCCACAGGUAAGAUUUACCUACUGAUGAGGACUUUUAAAAUAUCAGUAAAUGACUUAAAAGAUUAGAAAGAAAGAAAAAGAGAGAGAGGGAGAGUUUUGGUUUUGGUUGAUUGGCUUUAAAAACCGUAUGAAUUCCUUUUUUAUAGAAGGUAAAAUUAACAGAUACUGAUGAAUCUAUAAAGAAUUAUAAAAGAGAAAAUAGUAAUCACCCUUAUUCCCACUGCCGAGAAAUAAACACUGCUGAUAUUUGGUUGUAUUCUCUUGUUGUUUCAUUUUUAACCAGCAAGAAUAAGGCCCUUUUCUGCUGUCCUGAUACCCUACAGAAUCUCAGCAAUGCAGACAACUGACUUUAGUUGAACAAUAGAAGACCUUUUGGGGUUUUUAAUCAUUAAAAAUAUAUUUUUACCCUCCAAUAUUUCUAGAUGUCCAGCAAUAUGUGCUUUGACUCCACUCAUAUUUUCCAUUUUUCCUCUCUUCUAGAAUAUUCCUGGAAUCUUCUACCACUCUACAGCACUAGUCUAAAAGAACACAGCUUUUAGAACUAAACUGGGAUCCAUCCAUGGCAACAGGUGCAGAGGAACCCAAGGAGAAUGAAGGCUGUUAUGACUCCACCCUUUGGAAAAACCUCUCUGAAGCCGCAAGCCACGCACAGAAGCCACGUUCACCCCGUGUCCUCAUUGGCCCGAAGCAGUCCCGCGCCUACGUUGAGACCUUUGGCAUCUGAAGACAGGUCUUUCUCCCUAGUCUGGGCCCCACCUCCAUCCUGGCUGGCUUCGCUGUCCAUGAGCCUGAACUCCACUGGCCCUCACCUUCCCAGCAAUCACUCUACUUUCCUGCCCUGUUGACUGCAGCCAGAGCCAACUUGUGAAAUUUUAACUCUGGAUCCAUCUUGUCACCUACCUUCUCUGCUUCUGCUCUUGGGCAGCUGAGCCCUGAUGGAGAAAAAUCCCACAAACGGGCCAGGGGGGCCAUGCUGAUGCAUCUUCUCCAGCCUAGCUGGGCUCUUCCUCCUUCUGGUGCAUCUUUUCUGUGACCCCAGGUGACUCUCACUGCUGUGUCUUGGACAUCCAAUAUGCACCUCUUUCCUCAGUACCCAUCCACCACGCACCACUCUCUCCCUCUCAGUGGGCAAUUUGCCUCUGACUCCAUUGAUGACAUCUGCUUCCUCCCCUUCUUUCACAAGUGAAUCUGUAUCAUAAACUAUUUUCCCUCCCAUCUUCAGGGAAGAAGGGCUUCUCUUCCUUUAUUCAAGCUUGAUCAUUCCUGAUCCAAUUCCCCAUCCUUCCAGCAAUCAGCACAUAUUCCUCUCAAUCUUUCCCCUUUCUACUGGGUUCCAUCUCCUACCGCCGCAACUAUGAACCAACUCAUGUUUGUUCCAGCCUUUUCUUUUUUUUUAAGACAAAACAAAAUAAUAAUCUAUUUUUGGGCAAUCUCCUAGCCCCCUCCCAAGACACACAUAGCUACCCUUCAGAGACUGUCCUAUAUCUCCUUCACUUUACAGCUGAGCUUCUAGAAAGAGUGGUCUGCACUCUUGGUUUCUUCUUCCACCCUGCCCACCACCACCCAACUCUCAACCCAUGGCAACCCUCCACCCUCACUGGCCCCCAUGAUACUGUCCAGGGCCACCACACAGCCAGCUCCACAGGCACUAGAUUGUCCUAUCUUGUAUGGCCUCCGAGUAGCCCUGGACGCCCUGGUGACACCACUUUCCCUUUUGGGUGGACCUCCUUACCCUACUUUCCUGGGGCUCCUUUGCUUCUUUCUAGAAUGUUCUUGGUCUCUCUGAGGAAUCUCAUCAAACUCAUGUCAUUCUCACCCAGGUUUCCUCCACUGCACUUCUAGCCCAGUCCUUGUUUAGGAGCUCAGAACUUAGUGCCCAGCUGCCCUUGGCACUGCUCCCACCAUGUCACACCAUGAAUCUUAACCUCAACAUGUCCAAAACUAGACUGACUACGUUUCCUCCCAAACUUGGCAUUCCUGUUCACCCAGUCGCUCAAGCUGGAACCUGGGAACCUUCCAACUUUCUCCCAUAUGAGCAAUUAAUUUAGUAAUCUUGGAAAACAAAGCAACAACAACAACAAAAAUGGCUGAGGCCAUACUGCUGGGAUUCACAGCUGCCUCUACCACCUCCCAACCCGCUAACACUGGGCAAGUCUCCUAACCUCUGCGCCUCUGUUUUCUCGUCUAUAAACUGGGCACAACAACAGUACCUACUUCACGAGGGUGCUGUGCCAGAGAGUAAGAGUGGAAUAAGGGUCGGCUCUGACCAUCAGUCCUCUUCGCCCCCAGGGACAAACACUGCCCAGAAGUGCUGCUGGUCAAGGUCUGGUCCACAGGCUAGGGCCAGUUUGGGAAAUGUUUGUCAUUGGUCUGUAAUUAGAUAAGUACAGAAGUUGAAAGUAAGCAUUUAAAACUGUUGUAUAGUAAUUUAACAGGAUAAUUUUAUACCUGUUGAACGUAAUAAGAAAAAAUUGAGCUUCACUUCACACCCAUUAGAACGGCUACUAUCAAAACGCAGAGAAUAACAAGUGUAGGUGACGAUGGCAGACACUGGGGCUCUUGUGCACCGAGGACGGGAAUGUAAAAUGGGGCAGCCACCGUGGAAAACAGUAUUGUGGCUCCUUGAGAAGUUAAAAAUAAAAUUACCAUAUGAUCUAGCAAUUCUACUUUGGGGUGUACCCCCAAGAACUGAACGCAGGGCCUUGAAGAGAGAUUUGUACACCCAUAUUCAUAGCAACAUUACUCAUAACAGCCAGAAGAUGGAAGAAUUUAGGUCUCCACUGAGAGAUGAAAAGAUACACAAAAUGGGGGAAAUUAUCCAGCCUUAAGAAGGAUAGAGGGGCUGGCCAGUGGCGCAGUGGUUAAGUGUGCAUGUUGCGCUUCAGAAGCCCAGGGUUCGCCAGUUUGAAUCCUGGGUGUGGACAUGGCGCUACUUGGCAAGCCAAGUACUGGUAUGCAUCCCAGGUAUAAAAUAGAGGAAGAUGGGCACAGAUGUUAGCUCAG
rnacentral:lncRNA from 1 species